UUUUAAAAGCCUUCCAAGCAUCACGUUUUCUAAAACUAAUGCCAAUGCAGCCAAAGGCCCUGUAUUGGCCAACCAUCUUAAUGCUGAAGCAAAGCUGAAGGAAGUCACAGAAGAGGAUCCUGGCUUACAGGACGGGGCUGUUUGAGAGCUCAAAGGCAGGAUGAAGCUGAGGACAGCACGCUGUAAAUACUCUUCCUCACGUCCCAGCUGUGCAUUGCACGAGUGGAAAGGCGAGGGGCUGCUCACCAGAGGGCUUGCUUCCUUCAGAGCAAUGUUUGGUGAAGAGGAGGAGAGACAGCCAGCAAGACCUGCAUCCCCAUUGAGGCAAAGAGCGCUUAAAACACGCACAGCCCCAGGCAAUGCCCUGCAGGCAGCUCUG
rnacentral:lncRNA from 1 species